CAGAGGAAUGAGGAUUAUAUUUCCAUACGUCUGCAAAUCUGAAUUACAGUGUUGAUUCAUAGACAUGCACUACCAUCUGACCUCUC
rfam:Brassica oleracea var. oleracea cultivar TO1000 chromosome C7, whole genome shotgun sequence